rnacentral:rRNA from 1 species
AAUGGACGAAAGUCUGACGGAGCAACGCCGCGUGAGUGAUGAAGGAUUUCGGUUCGUAAAGCUCUGUUGUUAGGGAAGAAAAGUGCCGUUGAAUAGGCGGCACCUUGACGGUACCUAACCAGAAAGCCACGGCUAACUACGUGCCAGCAGCCGCGGUAAUACGUAGGUGGCAAGCGUUGUCCGGAAUUAUUGGGCGUAAAGCGCGCGCAGGCGGUCUUUUAAGUCUGAUGUGAAAGCCCACGGCUCAACCGUGGGGGGCAUUGGAAACUGGGGGACUUGAGUACAGAAGAGGAGAGUGGAAUUCCACGUGUAGCGGUGAAAUGCGUAGAUAUGUGGAGGAACACCAGUGGCGAAGGCGACUCUCUGGUCUGUAACUGACGCUGAGGCGCGAAAGCGUGGGGAGCAAACAGGAUU